GCCGGGGUGGCGGAAUUGGUAGACGCAGGGGACUUAAAAUCCCCCGGGCCUAAAACCCGUGCCGGUUCGAGUCCGGCCCUCGGCACCA
rnacentral:tRNA from 1 species